GAUGAAGAACGUAGCGAAAUGCGAUAAGUAGUGUGAAUUGCAGAAUUCAGUGAAUCAUCGAAUCUUUGAACGCACAUUGCGCCCCUUGGUAUUCCAUGGGGCAUGCCUGUUCGAGCGUCAUUUGUACCUUCAAGCUUUGCUUGGUGUUGGGCGUCUUGUCUCUAGCUUUGCUGGAGACUCGCCUUAAAGUAAUUGGCAGCCGGCCUACUGGUUUCGGAGCGCAGCACAAGUCGCACUCUCUAUCAGCAAAGGUCUAGCAUCCAUUAAGCCUUUUUUUCAACUUUUGACCUCGGAUCAGGUAGGGAUACCCGCUGAACUUAAGCAUAUCAAUAAGCGGAGGA
rnacentral:misc_RNA from 1 species